rnacentral:other from 1 species
AUUACCCUGCUGUGUUCGUGUAUUUAAAAGGCGAUUCUUUGUUCCAACACCUCUUAUGAGGGAGCUUAGCUUGGGAGAAGGCGUGCAAGCCUGGAAGUAACAGGAAGCGCAAAUUCUUCAAAAGGGCACCCACGUAGAUAUCUUUCGGUAUCAAAGAGGUCUUUUAUCCGGCACGGCGGGGUAUUC